CGUAACACAUUGGUAAUCUACUUUCAUCUCGAGUAUAACCCCGCGAAAGCGGGGACAAUCCUCGAUAGUCAUGAGGGGACAAAAGUCAUUCUCAUGUAAAGAUUUAUCGGAUGAAAAGGAGCCUAUGGCCCAUCAGCUUGUUGGUAGGGUAAUGGCCUACCAAGGCUCUGACGGGUAGCGGGUGUGAGAGCACGACCCGCCUCACUGGGACUGAGACACUGCCCAG
rnacentral:rRNA from 1 species